UACGAAGGGGGCUAGCGUUGUUCGGAAUUACUGGGCGUAAAGGGCGCGUAGGCGGUACUUCAAGUCAGGCGUGAAAGCCCCGGGCUCAACCUGGGAACCGCGCUUGAGACUGGAGAACUAGAGUUCGGGAGAGGAUGGUGGAAUUCCCAGUGUAGAGGUGAAAUUCGUAGAUAUCAGGAGGAACACCGGUGGCGAAGGCGGUGGUCUGGGCCGGCACUGACGCUGAGGAGCGAAAGCGUGGGGAGCGAACAGG
rnacentral:rRNA from 1 species